rnacentral:lncRNA from 1 species
UUUUUGUAUUUUUAGUAGAUACGGGGUUUCACCAUGUUAGCCAGGAUGGUCUCAAUCUCUUCACCUCGUGAUCUGCCCGCCUCGGCCUCCCAAAGUGCUGCGAUUACAGGCGUGAGCCACUGCGCCCGGCCCUUUUUUUUUUUUUUAAACUAAUAUUUAUCAAGGAGGCACCAGCUGCCAGGCUGUGUGAAGAGCUUCCACACAGCACCUCAUUGGCUGCCCAGAAGCACCCUGUGGCGCAGAGUCCUUUCUUAGGCCACCUUUGGGCCCAGAAAACUAAAGUGACUUGCCCAAGGCCACACAGCCAGUAUGUGCUAAGCCCUCUGACUUGAGAGACCAAGAGCGUCACCCUCAGCAGUCCUGCUCCGGUCAUACAGAAGGGGAGACCGAGGCAUUCCAGACACACAUGGCUUGCCAGGAGUUUCCCGAGGCCUGCUCCCUCCCAGGCCAGGAAGAGGCCCCGGCCCAGCAGCAGCCCCUGGGCCAGGUGGGUUAGCACGUGACUGUCCAUCUCACCCGCUGUGGUGAUGAGCUCGACAGGAUAUUGACCACCGCCUGCGGGGAUAAAGCCAGGGAGCUGGUCAGAGCCAGAAAGGACCCCAGAGGGUAUCCCACCCAAUACGCCCAUUUUUGCAGAUGGGGAGACUAAGCCAACCAAUGGCCAAGCUUGUCUUGUGUUCUGAGCCCCUGCAGCCUGCUCUCCCAAACACACCUCCACCCUGGGGGAUCAGGGAGGGCACCUGAGGGGGCACCAACCAGGCUGGUCCUGAUACCUUUUUGGCCCCAGCUCUUACCUCAUUGCUGAUCAUACUUGCUGACACCUGCAUGCCACAGCUGGAGUAAGCACUGCGCAAGACAAACUUGUCACCCCUGUCCUCUGCCUCACAGCUGGGGUCCCAGAAGGUCAGGCCCGUGAUGGUGCACUUCAAAUGCUGGGUCGGAAGAGAGGGGCACCAUCAGGAGGCACUGGGGUCUCUGUGGCCUGCCACACCCCAGCACCAAGGACUGACCACAACCCAGGGGUCCCAAGUCACAGCCAUUCCCCUGCCCUGCUCCCUCUUCAUUUUUGUUAGAUGUCAUCAUCCUACACCACUUAAAAGUUCUUUUUUUUGAGAUGGAGUCUCACUCUUUUUGCCCAGGUGCAGUGGCUCGAUCUUGGCUCACUACAACCUCCA